GUGGCCGCAUUCAGUUUUUUAUAAUCAAUACAGACUCUCCAUCUAGUUUGAACUCUAGUCAGCACAAGUUCAUUGGUUUCAUUUUGGAUCACUGUAACCCCAAACUUUUUAGGGACCACUUGGAUUGGACUAACCCAUGAACUAUUUGAAAUAGGGUAGAUAAUUUCAUUGUCUAAUAACUUGAGAAUCUCUUUCUUCACUAUCUCUUUCAUAACUGAGUUAAGUCUCCUUUAGGGAUUUCUAAUUGGCUUGGCUUCUUCCCCUAAGUGAAUUCGAUGUUGGACAAUUGAAGGGCUAAUUCCCUUAAUAUCAGUCAUGGUCCAUGCAAUAGCUUCUUUAUUCUCUCUAAGGAUAACUGAAAGUUCCUCCUUCUGGGUUGGAUCUAGGUCUGAUGCUAUGAUUACAGGAAGAGUUUCUGAUGGACCUAAAUACGUAUAUUUGAGAUGCUUAAGGAGUGUUUUGAGUUCUAGUUUCGGUGCUUCCUCAAUCGAUGGUUUGGAUUUUGGUUCAGCCAGUCUAACAUGUGGUUCGAUAGGUGGUAGCCAUUGUGGAUGAACUCUUUGGUCAUAAGAUGUGGA
rnacentral:lncRNA from 1 species